GGGCCUGUAGCUCACCGGUAGAGCGGUUGUCUUAUAAACAACAGGUACUUGGUUCGAUCCCAAGCAGGCCCACCG
rnacentral:tRNA from 4 species